AGAGUUUGAUCAUGGCUCAGGACGAACGCUGGCGGCGUGCUUAACACAUGCAAGUCGAGCGAGGACAUGGGCUUCGGUCCGUGUUCGAGCGGCGGACGGGUGAGUAACGCGUGAGCAAUUUGUCCCGGACAGGGGGAUAACAGAUGGAAACAUCUGCUAAUACCGCAUAAGACCACGAGGCCACAUGGCCUUGAGGUAAAAGGAGGAAUCCGGUUCGGGGUGAGCUCGCGUCCGAUUAGCUAGUUGGUGAGGUAACGGCCCACCAAGGCGACGAUCGGUAGCCGACCUGAGAGGGUGAUCGGCCACAUUGGAACUGAGAUACGGUCCAAACUCCUACGGGAGGCAGCAGUGGGGAAUAUUGGGCAAUGGGCGAAAGCCUGACCCAGCAACGCCGCGUGAGGGAAGAAGGUUUUCGGAUUGUAAACCUCUGUCCUUGGGGACGAAGAAAGUGACGGUACCCAGGGAGGAAGCCCCGGCUAACUACGUGCCAGCAGCCGCGGUAAUACGUAGGGGGCGAGCGUUGUUCGGAAUGACUGGGCGUAAAGGGCGCGUAGGCGGCCGAUUAAGUCUGGAGUGAAAGUCCUGUUUUUAAGGCGGGAAUUGCUUUGGAGACUGGUUGGCUUGAGUGCGGAAGAGGUAAGUGGAAUUCCCAGUGUAGCGGUGAAAUGCGUAGAGAUUGGGAGGAACACCAGUGGCGAAGGCGACUUACUGGGCCGUAACUGACGCUGAAGCGCGAAAGCGUGGGGAGCGAACAGGAUUAGAUACCCUGGUAGUCCACGCGGUAAACGAUGAGUGCUAGGUGUAGGGGGUAUCGACCCCUCCUGUGCCGCAGUUAACACAAUAAGCACUCCGCCUGGGGAGUACGGCCGCAAGGUUGAAACUCAAAGGAAUUGACGG
rnacentral:rRNA from 1 species